ensembl:lncRNA
CUGACUGGGAACUUGAGCCACAUGGGAGACUGCAAUAAGAGUUGUGUGAAUUUGAGUUGUUUAAUAAGUGAUUGAGAGUGCAGUGGGUGCUGCUUCUUUUUUUGUUUAAAUAAAACUGGAGUUCCAGUCACGCUGACCCUGUCUUCUUCCACCAUUUGAACCAUGUCACACUGGUGCCGAAACCCGGGAGGAAGGAAGGACAUGCUGCCGAAGAUUCCUCGCUGCUGUGGUGAAUCCGUGGUGCCAUCGAGCAUGGCGGAGCAGUCUGCUGCCAUGGAUGCUCGAGGUGGUGGGCUGGAUUGAAUUGUUGGGGGGAUGAAGAGCUCGCUGCCGGCCGCCCGAGAUGUGGAGGGACGGCUGCCGUCUGUGAUGGAGUGGAGAAGUCACCACCAAUCGCCUGGAGGCUGGAGCCUGCUGCUGUCUGCCAUGAUGGGGAGGAGCAGGGAACGGGGGACUGCCCGAAUCCGGAGGAGCCGUUGCCGUCCACUGGGCACCGCGGAAGAGUUCACCCAGAUGGUGGAGGCUGAGCGGCAGUGUGUCUGGGAACCAGAACAAUUUUUUUUUUAAAUUUCUCAUCUCUGUCUCUCCUCAUCCUUCAGUCUCCUUUUCUCUCGCCUCGUCAGUCUGUUUGUACCCACAGCCACCAUGAUCGGUUCCCCCAGAGGGGGGAGGGAGGUGGGUAGAGUGCAGUCAUGGGAGUACCCCCGGCCUGUGAGGGGCGAUGGGGGUAUAUGAUGAGUGGGGCGGGUCCGAAAGCCGUGGGAAUGGGCCGAGGCUGGUGGAGUAAUUGGAAAUUAUUGACACCUGGACCACUCACCGGUCUCGAGUCCCACGGAGGAGCUCCGGAAGAAUAAAAAGUAGAGUUAUGACAGUGAAGGUAUGAGAGAGGACCAGGCCUGGAUUUUAUUUUGUGUUUUGGUUCUGUUUGUGCACGGCAGUCGUUCAUGAGGGGCUGUCACGCUAUUUUGUUUAUUUUAGUAUUAAAGUUUUAUUUGAAUGUUCACUGGUUCCUGCCUCCUUCCCAUGACUAUGAAUGCUUUUUACGUUGUUACAUGGUGUUUAUCGUUUUUUGCAAAUUUUAUUAUUAUAUACAAACAAUGAUUGGGUAAAAUCAGUUUUAACUAAGCUUCAUUGCUUGUAGAGAGACACGCAGACGGAGGUUCACACAUGCAACUUUAUCCCUCUCUCUCGCUCUAAUUCAAUUAAAUUAUAUAAUUAAUACAAAUAAAUGUGAUCUUACCGCACUACAUUUAUGUGUCUGAUUUAAAGCAGGCCUAAUGCUAAUGAGCCUUAACUGACGGAAAUGACCAUAAUGUUGGCGCUCAGGUCGGGUCAGAUGGUCU